UACGGGGGGGGCAAGCGUUGUUCGGAAUUACUGGGCGUAAAGGGCUCGUAGGCGGCCAACUAAGUCGGAUGUGAAAUCCCCAGGCUUAACCUGGGAACUGCAUCCGAUACUGGAUGGCUUGAAUCCGGGAGAGGGAUGCAGAAUUCCAGGUGUAGCGGUGAAAUGCGUAGAUAUCUGGAGGAACACCGGUGGCGAAGGCGGCAUCCUGGACCGAUAUUGACGCUGAGGCGCGAAAGCCAGGGGAGCAAACGGG
rnacentral:rRNA from 1 species